rnacentral:sRNA from 1 species
GGAACUUUUCGGACGGCGCGGGCCCGGGG